UUUAAGUGCAGUUUUGAGUUUUUUCGUCCAACAUUUGAUUGUCCUUCUUAUUUGAAAGUUUUUUUUUAUUAUUAGUACUUUUAUUGAUAUUAGAUGAUAAAACAUGAAUAUUACUUUAUGCAUGACUUAUUUUUUUAAUUUUUUUAUAUUUUUUUUAAAAUAAGACAAACAGUUAAAUAUUGGAUAUCGAAACUCAUAACUACACUUAAA
rfam:Oryza sativa Japonica Group DNA, chromosome 4, cultivar: Nipponbare, complete sequence.